CGUGUACGGCGGCUUAACAAGUCAGAUGUGAAAUCCUGGGCUUAACCAGGAAGUGCAUUUGAAACUGUUUGGCUUGAGUAAGGGAGAGGAAAGUGGAAUUCCUGGUGUAGAGGUGAAAUUCGUAGAUAUCAGGAGGAACACCGGUGGCGAAGGCGACUUUCUGGCCCUAUACUGACGCUGAGACGCGAAAGCGUGGGUAGCAAACA
rnacentral:rRNA from 1 species